rnacentral:lncRNA from 1 species
CAAGGGAGCAGCUGCUGACUGAGAAAGAACAAAUGCCCCACUGGAUUCCCCAGUAAUCAGUAAUUGGCAUAAUUUUUCCAGUGGGUCAGAAUCAAGAUUACAAUAAUGUGAAGCAGCGGAAGAAAAUCUCCCUGCUGUUAGAAGAAAACAUGGUUAUCCUACCUAUUAGCAGACAAACAUGGAAAUAUUUGAUUUAAUUUAACGUUGACAUAAUUUAAUUUGACUUAAUGCUCUCCCAGGGAACAGUGAUUUCUGAUGUCAGGAACUGCCUUUCCUUUAAGGCACAUGCUUCUUCUUUAGAGGCUAGGAAUUCCAGUACUAUAUUAAAUAAAACAACAAAAGUGACAAAAGAGGGCAUCCUUGCUUUGUUCCAAAUCAUAGAAGAAAAACUUCCAAGUUUUCACCAAAGAUGAGAGUGUUAAGACCACUGUUCCACGCCGUCAGAACUCAUCUGAGCAUUAUCUGAAGCAACUAUGCCGUCACUUGGGGAAGAUGCCUCAUAACCCUAACAGAGGCCUGACUGAAGUGCGAACGCUGAUCUAAACAAAGCAGUCAGGAACACGCUGGCUAGGAUUCUCCUGACCUCUUCUUUUGUUGCCAUAGUUACCUUUAUCAAUAAAUGUCCAAAGAUGUAACCGAGGCAUUGUUGUCAUAGUUCAUUGGAUGGCAACAAACUGUUAUUGAAUAAAUUAGUGUCCCAAUUAAGAGUCUUUCCUAUUUUUCAGCACCUUUCCAAUCUGUAAC